rnacentral:rRNA from 1 species
UACGGGGGGGGCUAGCGUUGUUCGGAAUUACUGGGCGUAAAGGGCGCGUAGGCGGCCUGCUAAGUCGAACGUGAAAUCCCUGGGCUCAACCCAGGAACUGCGUCCGAUACUGGUUGGCUUGAAUCCGGGAGAGGGAUGUGGAAUUCCAGGUGUAGCGGUGAAAUGCGUAGAUAUCUGGAGGAACACCGGUGGCGAAGGCGACAUCCUGGACCGGUAUUGACGCUGAGGCGCGAAAGCCAGGGGAGCAAACGGG